UGCAUUCGAUACUGGGAAGCUAGAGUAUGGGAGAGGAUGGUAGAAUUCCAGGUGUAGCGGUGAAAUGCGUAGAGAUCUGGAGGAAUACCGAUGGCGAAGGCAGCCAUCUGGCCUAAUACUGACGCUGAGGUACGAAAGCAUGGGGAGCAAACAGGAUUAGAUACCCUGGUAGUCCAUGCCGUAAACGAUGUCUACUAGCCGUUGGGGCCUUUGAGGCUUUAGUGGCGCAGCUAACGCGAUAAGUAGACCGCCUGGGGAGUACGGUCGCAAGACUAAAACUCAAAUGAAUUGACGGGGGCCCGCACAAGCGGUGGAGCAUGUGGUUUAAUUCGAUGCAACGCGAAGAACCUUACCUGGUCUUGACAUAGUAAGAACUUUCCAGAGAUGGAUUGGUGCCUUCGGGAACUUACAUACAGGUGCUGCAUGGCUGUCGUCAGCUCGUGUCGUGAGAUGUUGGGUUAAGUCCCGCAACGAGCGCAACCCUUUUCCUUAUUUGCCAGCACUUCGGGUGGGAACUUUAAGGAUACUGCCAGUGACAAACUGGAGGAAGGCGGGGACGACGUCAAGUCAUCAUGGCCCUUACGACCAGGGCUACACACGUGCUACAAUGGUCGGUACAAAGGGUUGCUACCUAGCGAUAGGAUGCUAAUCUCAAAAA
rnacentral:rRNA from 1 species